AGCUUUGCGCAGUGGCAGUAUCGUAGCCAAUGAGGUUUAUCCGAGGCGCGAUUAUUGCUAAAAAAGAAAAAAAAAAA
rnacentral:snRNA from 1 species